rnacentral:lncRNA from 1 species
UGCAGUCAGUCCUAUCUGCAGCCAAGUUGGAGAUGGCAUGGAUACAAACUAGAUAUCGAGAUUCAUAUAACUGAAGGAGACCUUUUAUCAUUUCCCUAGUUUUUAUUUUAUUUUGCUUUUUCCAUCUAAUGAGUAUCCAUGACAGAACUUGAACAAUUAUGAAUCGCCGAUUGGUGGACAAUGAUGUGUCCCCAUUCGCCAUAGGACGUCUUUAUGUUUCUAGUAAUAAUGUAAUGCGGUAUUUAAAGUAGCUUGACUGUUGAAUGGAGACUUUGAGCUGGCUGUGUGUACACACAGUUAUGAGACUUGAAUUGAAUUCAGUUUCUUUAUAACUUACUGAGAAUCUGACUGGUAUAUUUAGCUUACCACAGGAUAUAUUUAGGCCUUCUUCUAUCAUGCUUUAAUUUAAUUCGGAU